UAUGGGUUGGGAGAGCUCACACUGGGCUCCUUUUAGUAUUAGCAUUUCAUUGGAAGGGGUGAGGAGGAUAACUAAAAAAGUUUUCAUUUUCUCUUUUAAUCAGUGGUACUGAGGAUGGGUUAUACAGUGUAUAGAGAGGGAAGAUAUGUGUCUGAUUGUUUGGAAUGUCAAGAUAUACAGUCUCCCACAGUCCUGUUUAUGGCAACCUCUGGCGGUGAGUGGUGGACCAGUGGUGUCUUCUUGAAUGUCAGGUUAAAGAUUUUCUAGAGCCACAAGGUGACCGUGGAGACUUUCAGUCCCAACCAAAAGGUCUCCUUCUGGGGGCAAGUGAUGAUCACUUCCUAACAUUAGGCCCAGCUGAGCUGGCCUUAACCUCCAAGAGGAAGAUUCUCCAAGAGCCAGAGGGGACCCCCAGCCAAAUCAAUCUUAUCAAUCUCUCUAUCAUUCCAGCUAAAAAAAAAAAAACAACCACAACAAAGAAAGUAAGGAGAGACGCUUCCUCCACUGGGACCCGGCGCUGCCACUCCCGCUGUUGAGUCAACACUGCUGGGCUGACCUUGCCCGCCCACUCGGUGUGUGCGGCCUACUUUUCAGCUUCUGCUGCUGUGCCCAACACCGCUGUGUUUCGGGUCUUUUGGCGCACAGACACCCCUGCAUCAACACCCUCUGUGCCGUGGUGCUCCACAGCUUCGGUGCCUCAUGCUUGGCCCCACCGGACCUCGAUGCAUCGGGGUUGAGACACUCCUACUGCAGAUCCUCUGGUCAACACUAUGUCCAAGUUCCACCCUUGUACAUCCUGUGGAGGGAUGCUUCCCCUACAGGACAAGCACCUCUUAUGUGUCAAGUGCGUGGGGAUGCAGCACACCUCCACUGCCCAAGGAGACGAGACGUUUUGUUCAAUCUGAGCAGAGUCUCAGCCUCGGACCCUGUACAGAGGCAGUGUUCUUAGCCAGCUCAACUGAGUCCUCCUCCCUCCUCCAUCUGCCUUCCAGCCCGUCACAGGGUACACACUUGUGCACAGGCUUCAGCCCACCAAGCCUGCAGCUGCUCAUGGUCUCCCUCGAGGAGCAGUAAGCGGGCAAGGCACAGUAAGCAGGCAGAGGACAUCUCGGACCUGAAGAGCCAGAUGGCCCAGGUCCGCAAGUCCCUGGUCAAGCAGGAGGCUCUGCCCCCUCUGCCUGCUCCAGUGCCGCCUCCAGUACCUGACCUGGUACCGACCCCUCCCUUACUGGCAGUUGAGGACAUCUUGGACAGAGAUGAGGCAAUGAACGAGGAGUACCAGGACACGAUCUUGAUUGCAGCCACCAGGGAUGGAGACUCUUUGGAGCUGUAUUUAGGAAAAGUCAAGAAUGGACAACUGCGUAUCUUUCACACACGCAGAGUAAUUUAAAUUUUAAAAGUGAAAACUGUCAAAAUGACUGGCAUGGCUGUUCUAGUGUUAAUGAAAUAUAAUUGUUUCCUAUUAUGGAAAACCCCCUCAUCUUUGCCAUAAGCAAUGCUAGUGCAGUCAAGGGCUCCAGUAACAUUUGGUACUUUAUCUGUACAAUAAUAAUACAACAGUCUGUCACUUUUGUUUAACCCUUUAAGGACCGUGAUCAUGUUAACACGAUCAUACUGAAGCGGGCUUGUAGGACCGGGAUCGUGUAAAUACAAUAAAAAAGCACUUUGUUUUGAUGACUUACAGGGCCACCGUUCUUUGCAGUAUAGGCUUGAA